rnacentral:rRNA from 1 species
CAGCCGUAAACUAUGCGCGUUAGGUGUAUCGGUGACCACGAGUCACCGAGGUGCCGAAGGGAAACCGUGAAACGUGCCGCCUGGGAAGUACGGUCGCAAGGCUGAAACUUAAAGGAAUUGGCGGGGGAGCACCACAACAGGUGGAGCCUGCGGUUUAAUUGGACUCAACGCCGGGAAGCUCACCGGAUAGGACAGCGGAAUGAUUGCCGGGCUGAAGACUCUGCAUGACUAGCUGAGAGGAGGUGCAUGGCGUAGACGU